UUCUAUUGUUUCCACAUUGCUAUUAGAUAAUUGCUGUUUAUUGUUUCUACUUUGGAUGAAUACAUCAAAUCCAAAUUUCUAUAAUUUUCUUAUAUUAAUGAUGUACGAAGUAUGCUUCCUGGGCUCAAAUUUCGAUUAGUUCAGCUAAUUUCUACAUUGAAGUUACUAAAUAGUCCUAGAGUGGGCUUGGAGCGUUUAGAUUUUGUGUUCACAAAAGUAUCAAUUAUUAAGAUGUUGGAAAACGGAAUUUCUUUCUUUUCGACUGUCAAAGGCUUACUAAAUUCGAGGAAACCAAACUUAUGUAAAGCAUAAUGAGUCUAACAUGCGUAUUUUUUUAAUACCUCAUAAAAUCCUUUUAUAAUGCUAUAUAAAAAUUAUGUCAUAUUAUAAUAAAAAAAA